rnacentral:rRNA from 1 species
GUGACUUAUCGUACUCANGAAUGCACNUAGAUUANGUUAUUGAUCAUGGCUCAGAGUGAACGCUGGCGGUAGGCCUAACACAUGCAAGUCGAACGGCAGCACAGGAGAGCUUGCUCUCAUGGGUGGCGAGUGGCGGACGGGUGAGGAAUACAUCGGAAUCUACUUUUCGUGGGGGAUAACGUAGGGAUAACAUUACAGCCUAAUUACCUGCACUUACGACCUACGGGAUGAAACAAGCAGGGAGAAUCAUAUUCGAGACCCUUGCUNCGAAUUUGANAUGAAUGCCCGAAUGAUCANUGAAUAUAGCCUAAGAUUUGAGCCGAGGGGGUAACAAAGUGGCCGCCUAACCAAAAUGGNCAGAACCGNAUUCCACGUAUACUAGGGAUACUAGAAAACGGAAUAGAAUCA